rnacentral:rRNA from 1 species
CCCUUAGAUGUUCUGGGCCGCACGCGCGCUACACUGAUGCAUUCAACGAGCCUAUCCUUGACCGACAGGUCCGGGUAAUCUUUGAAUCUGCAUCGUGACGGGGAUAGAUUAUUGCAAUUAUUAAUCUUCAACGAGGAAUGCCUAGUAGGCGCAAGUCAUCAGCUUGCGUCGAUUACGUCCCUGCCCUUUGUACACACCGCCCGUCGCUCCUACCGAUUGGGUGUGCUGGUGAAAUGUUCGGAUCGGCCGUUUGUCGCGGUUUCCGCGUCAUGUGGCUGAGAAGUUCAUUAAACCCUCCCACCUAGAGGAAGGAGAAGUCGUAAUA